UACGUAGGUGGCAAGCGUUGUCCGGAAUUACUGGGCGUAAAGGGCGAGUAGGUGGCCAUCUAAGUCAGACGUGAAAUCCCCCGGCUUAACCUGGGAACUGCGUCUGAUACUGGACGGCUUGAGUAUGGGAGAGGAACGUAGAAUUCCAGGUGUAGCGGUGAAAUGCGUAGAUAUCUGGAGGAAUACCGGUGGCGAAGGCGGCGUUCUGGACCAUUACUGACACUGAAUCGCGAAAGCUAGGGGAGCAAACGGG
rnacentral:rRNA from 1 species